rnacentral:rRNA from 1 species
GAUGAACGCUGGCGGCGUGCUUAACACAUGCAAGUCGAACGAAGCACUUUAUUACGAUUUCUUCGGAAUGACGAUUUAGUGACUGAGUGGCGGACGGGUGAGUAACGCGUGGGUAACCUGCCUUAUACAGGGGGAUAACAGUUAGAAAUGACUGCUAAUACCGCAUAAGCGCACAGGAUUGCAUGAUCUGGUGUGAAAAACUCCGGUGGUAUAAGAUGGACCCGCGUCUGAUUAGCUAGUUGGUGAGGUAACGGCCCACCAAGGCGACGAUCAGUAGCCGGCCUGAGAGGGUGAACGGCCACAUUGGGACUGAGAUACGGCCCAGACUCCUACGGGAGGCAGCAGUGGGGAAUAUUGGGCAAUGGGCGCAAGCCUGACCCAGCAACGCCGCGUGAAGGAAGAAGGCUUUCGGGUUGUAAACUUCUUUUAAGAGGGAAGAGCAGAAGACGGUACCUCUAGAAUAAGCCACGGCUAACUACGUGCCAGCAG